CCUACGGGAGGCAGCAGUAGGGAAUAUUGCUCAAUGGGGGAAACCCUGAAGCAGCAACGCCGCGUGGAGGAUGAAGGUUUUAGGAUUUUAAACUCCUUUUGUUAGAGAAGAUUAUGACUGUAUCUAACGAAUAAGCACCGGCUAACUCCGUGCCAGCAGCCGCGGUAAUACGGAGGGUGCAAGCGUUACUCGGAAUCACUGGGCGUAAGGAGUGCGUAGGCGGGGUAAUAAGUCAGAUGUGAAAUCCUGUAGCUUAACUAAAGAACUGCAUUUGAAACUGUUACUGUGGAGUGUGGAAGAGGUAGGUGGAAUUCUUGGUGUAGGGGUAAAAUCCGUAGAGAUCAAGAGGAAUACUCAUUGCGAGGGAGACCUGCUGAAACAUUACUGAAGCUGAUGCACGAAAGCGUGGGGAGCAAACAGGAUUAGAUACCCUGUAGUC
rnacentral:rRNA from 1 species